rnacentral:rRNA from 1 species
AGUGAACGCUGGCGGUAGGCCUAACACAUGCAAGUCGAACGGCAGCACAGUAAGAGCUUGCUCUUACGGGUGGCGAGUGGCGGACGGGUGAGGAAUACAUCGGAAUCUACUUUUUCGGGGGGGAUAACGUAGGGAAACUUACGCUAAUACCGCAUACGACCUACGGGGGAAAGCAGGGGAUCUUCGGACCUUGCGCGAUUGAAUGAGCCGAUGUCGGAUUAGCUAGUUGGGGGGGUAAAGGCCCACCAAGGCGACGAUCCGUAGCUGGUCUGAGAGGAUGAUCAGCCACACUGGAACUGAGACACGGUCCAGACUCCUACGGGAGGCAGCAGUGGGGAAUAUUGGACAAUGGGCGCAAGCCUGAUCCAGCCAUACCGCGUGGGUGAAGAAGGCCUUCGGGUUGUAAAGCCCUUUUGUUGGGAAAGAAAAGCAGCAGGUUAAUACCCCGCUGUUCUGACGGUACCCAAAGAAUAAGCACCGGCUAACUUCGU